GUACGCAAGUCAUUGGGUGAUAGAAAACCCAAAGGCGUAAUGAAAGUAAAGAGUAUAAAGAUAGAAGAAGAAAAUUCAUUUUCAUCUUUGAUUCUUUCUCUCAAGGGAAGAUGGAUAUCUUAUUUUAAAUAAUAUUUAGUAUUUUUAUUAAGUAUGUUUAAAAUUUAGAUUCCCGCAUUCCCAGGGCGCUUGUAUCUCGCUCUGCGAGUCUAUGCGCACCUAGAGCGUACACGAUGAUACCCGAAAGAUGGUGAACUAUGCCUGGCCAGGACGAAGCCAGGGGAAACCCUGGUGGAGGUCCGCAGCGAUUCUGACGUGCAAAUCGAUCGUCAGAGCUGGGUAUAGGGGCGAAAGACCAAUCGAACCAUCUAGUAGCUGGUUCCCUCUGAAGUUUCCCUCAGGAUAGCUUGCGCUCAAUUGUGAAGAGUCUCAUCCGGUAGAGCGAAUGAUUAGAGGCAUUGGGGUCGAAACGACCUCAACCUAUUCUCAAACUCCAAAUAGAUGAGAACCCCGGCUUUCUUAAAAUUGAAGCCGUGGGAUUCGGAUCAGAGUGCCAAG
rnacentral:rRNA from 1 species